rnacentral:lncRNA from 1 species
UUUUACAGAUGGAGUAGGGUAGGGAUAACUUUCCAGGUAUAAGGAAGAUUUUGUAUUCCAGGGACCUUUGAAUUUUUUAGAAUGGCUAGAAAACUUGGUAUUAUGUAGCACAGAAAAAGUGGUAUGACUGAAGAGAUAGAGAACUUACCACAAAGGGUCUUGAAUGCCAUGAUACAUAGUUUGGAUUUUCUUCUGUAGGGAGCAAGGAGUUAGUGAAGGAUUUUAAAAGCAACAUGCCUCUUGGGAGGUAGAUUCAAUGUGAGGCUAAUCUCCGAGGUAUAGGAAAUACAGGAAGGAGGAGCAACAGGUCGGGUAGUGGUGGAAGCAGGUUUGGAAAAUGUGAUUAGUUUUGUAAGCGUUUUUGAGUUUGAAGUGCCACUGGGGAAGGCUUUUGGAAAUUUAUUUCCAGAGUUCAAGACUGAGCUAUCAUUGCAGUUUGCUCAGCUAUUUACUGAGCUAUCUACUGUCAAUUUGGAUAGUAUCUACAGUUUGCAUUGUAGAUACUGGAUACUUGGAUUGGCUGGUGCACCCUGUUUGUGAGACUCACUGGAGUUUGAAGAGAUGACCACUGGAAAAUAUCCCUAAGCAGUAGCUGCAAUUCCACCCCCACCUUGGAGAGCCAAAACCCUCUUCAUUUUCACUCUCCUGUCCUUGGUCUUAGGCUACUUAAAGCAGCCUUUAGACAUAGGGAAAAAUUGAAAGCCUCUCUUUUAAGAAAAACAUUAGGUACUUCUGGAAUAGAGAGUUCAAGAAAUUAGGAGAAAAAUGAACUUUUGAAGCUUUUUCUUUCCCUUUUUUGUUUACUUCAUUCUCUUACUCAGUUUUAAAAUGCUGGUAAUGGUCUUUUUUUUCUUUUUUUUUUUUUCUUGGCGAUUUUAAUGCUUUGGAAAAGAUCUCAUGGUUUUAUCUCCAAAGGAGGAAAUUAAUUUGAUGCCAUGGAAAUUAGUUUUCUAGUCGUAUGCCUUGAAUGAGUGAAGAAUUUGUUUUUCAUGGUGGUACUAAAUUUGGGGAAAGCUAUAGAAACUUUCAUCUGGAAGCUUACACUUUUCCUCUUUUUUGAAAAUUUGGUGAGAGACUUGGAUAUUUUAUUGUUUUCUGUAAAAGAGUGUAAUUUGUUGUACAGGUCUAAUAUUGAUCCUUUUUUGGAAGUAUGGAAAGAAUCUGAGUAUAAAGCAGAAUUACCUCUGGAUGGCAUGUAUUCUCAAGGACACUGUCACAGUGAAACAGUUUAUUUAGAAGCUUGUGUUUCCAAAGUGUUGAAUUUGAUAUUCACAAAAUUGGCAUGUGUAAACUUUAUUAAACUUUAAGCUAUUUCCUAAGAUGAAGAUGACAAACUUGGAGGGAAACUUCAUUCAUUUGGUUUAUUUUUAUUUUUAUUUUUAUUUAUUUUUAUCUUUUUGAGACAGAAUCUCACUCUGGUUUGAGACAGAAUCUCACUCUGUCCCCCAAGUUGGAGUGCGGUGGUGCGACCUCGGCUCACUGAAACCUCUGCCUCCUGGGUUCAGGCGAUUCUCCUGCUUCACCCUCCGAGUAGCUGGGAUUACAGGUGUGCACCACCACACCCAGCUAAUUUUUGUAUUUUUAGUAGAGACGGUUUCGCCACAUUGGCCCGGUUGGUGUCAAACUCCUGGCCUCAAAGUGAUCCGCCCACCUUGGCCUCCCAAAGUGGAGCCGCCGUGCCCCUUGUCUGUGACCUGUCAAUAUAAAUAUGCUCAGUAGCGGGGGGAGGGGGAGGUGAAAAAGGAAAUAUGUUUAAUAUUAAGACUUUGGCCUUUUAGUGUAAACUGAUACUCAGAAAUUUCUUCAUAGAACAUUUGCUUCUUUGCUUGAUCAUUUUUCUAAUUCUGUACAUCUAAAAUGCCCAGAAUUUGAGUUGCUGUUAUAGUCUACUAACAUAGAACUUUGGAGUAAUAAGAUGGGAAUUUGUCUCUCUUUUGCCAAGACAAGCAUUCGUAAUCUAACACAGUAUUGUUGCCACGAGUACGAGUAUGUGAUAGACUGUUGAGAAUAAAGAAAGCAGGCACAGUUGGUCAGUCCUAAGAUAAAGGAGAUGUUUUUCUUAUAUGUUUGUGCAUUAAAGAAAAAAAAAUCUUGAAUCUGACCAAUGAUGUUUUUUUUCCUUGUAAGAAAAUUUAACAAAUGUUUGGCAAGCUUCUGGAAUCUAAAUUUGAAAUUAUACAUUUGUCAUUUUCUUUAAAUAUUUCUUCACCUUAGCUUUGAUUAUGAGAAAUCACUGUCCUCUGCUGUUCUUUUUUUUUUUUUUUUUCUUUUGAGGCGGAGUCUCACUCUGUGCCAGGCUGGAGUGCAGUGGUGCAAUCUUGGCUCACUGCAACCUCCACUUCCUGGGUUCAAAUGAUUCUCCUGCCGCAGCCUCCUGAGUAGCUGGGACUACAGGUGCGUGCCACCACACCCAGCUAAUUUUUGUAUUUUUGGUAGAGACAGGGUUUCACCACGUUGUCCAUGGCCAGGAUGGUCUUGAUCUUGACCUUGUGAUCCGCCCGCCUCGGCCUCCCAGAGUGCUGGGAUUGCAGGCAUGAGCCACCGCGCCCGGCCUGUCCUCUGUGGUUUUCUGGGCUUAUGUUAAAAUUAUAACUCAAUCACCAGUCUUUAUAAAUUUGCUUUUUUAUAUUUAAACCAAACCUAAUGCUAAUUGUGAUAUGUUAUUUAUUCUCACCUGAUUUGAAUCAUUGGAUUCAAUUAAAUGAGUAAUUAUCAUUAAAUAAUUCUAAGAGAAAUAAUGUCUAUUCGGAUGGUGGGAAUUUUCUUCCUACAUGCAGCCCCAUUCUGAAUGAAUGAAAUCAAAUCACGUGAAGAUCAGGGUCCUAGAGUAACUUAAUAUUUUGUACAUUGGUUAUUUGACUCCUCAUUUUUAUAUUACAUGUUAUAUCAAGGGAGGGGGUAUAAAAGAAAUACAAAAAUUGCAGAGGUAUCUGGAAUGUACCUAUUUGUUAAUUCUAUUUGUCAUUUCUUUUGUUUCAUCUUUUGAGUAAUAAGCUGCUUGGAAAAGUUUCUGUUCUUUAGCUGAUUUUUUAGCUAUAAAAAUGUAUUUGAAAAGCUCAUAAAUUUCAGGAUUGAAAAGAUAAUUGAAAGUUUUAAAGAAACCUAAUUCAUUGAAGUAAUAAACAAAUAAUUUUCAAUCUUGAUUCAACUGUGAUUCAAAUCUUACACCAUUUGCCCACUUCUAUGAAUUUUAUGUAUAAAAUUUUUUAAGUCAGAGUUUUUUUUCUUGAUUAACUGGAUGUAUUUCACAGAAUUUCCAACUGCUCACGUUAGUUUUCUUCCUUUUAGAGUUGAUCUCUCUAAUGUAUUAGAUCUUCAUGCCUUUGAUAGUCUCUCUGGAAUAAGUUUGCAGAAAAAACUUCAGCAUGUGCCAGGAACACAACCUCACCUUGAUCAGAGUAUUGUUACAAUCACAUUUGAAGUACCAGGAAAUGCAAAGGAAGAACAUCUUAAUAUGUUUAUUCAGAAUCUCCUGUGGGAAAAGAAUGUGAGAAACAAGGACAAUCACUGCAUGGAGGUCAUAAGGCUGAAGGGAUUGGUGUCAAUCAAAGACAAAUCACAACAAGUGAUUGUCCAGGGUGUCCAUGAGCUCUAUGAUCUGGAGGAGACUCCAGUGAGCUGGAAGGAUGACACUGAGAGAACAAAUCGAUUG